rnacentral:rRNA from 1 species
AACUCGGGCUAAUACCGCAUAAUCUCUUCGGAGGAAAGGGGGCCUCUACAUGUAAGCUCUCGCUAAUGGAUGAGCCCAAGUCAGAUUAGCUUGUUGGUAAGGUAACGGCUUACCAAGGCUACGAUCUGUAGCUGGUCUGAGAGGAUGAUCAGCCACACUGGGACUGAGACACGGCCCAGACUCCUACGGGAGGCAGCAGUGGGGAAUAUUGCACAAUGGGCGAAAGCCUGAUGCAGCAAUGCCGCGUGUGUGAAGAAGGCUCUAUGGUUGUAAAGCACUUUCAAUAAGGAAGAAAGGUAUAAAGUUAAUAACU